rnacentral:rRNA from 1 species
AUUGAACGCUGGCGGCAGGCCUAACACAUGCAAGUCGAACGAGUGGGGGGCGGGUGAGUAAUGUCUGGGAAAGUGCCUGAUGGGGGGGGAUAACUACGGGAAACGGUAGCUAAUACCGCAUAACCUCGGAUGUCACCAGAUGGGAUUAGCGAGUAGGUGGGGUAACGGCUCACCUAGGCGACGACCCCUAGCUGGUCUGAGAGGAUGACCAGCCACACUGGAACUGAGACCCGGUCCAGACGCCUACGGGAGGCAGCAGUGGGGAAUAGUGCACAAUGGGCGCAAGCCUGAUGCAGCCAUGCCGCGUGUAUGAAGAAGGCCUUCGGGUUGUAAAGUACUUUCAGCGGGGAGGCGUUACCCGCAGAAGAAGCACCGGCUAACUCCGUGCCAGCAGCCGCGGUAAUAC